CCUGAUGCAGCCAUGCCGCGUGUGUGAAGAAGGCCUUCGGGUUGUAAAGCACUUUCAGUUGUGAGGAAAAGUUAGUAGUUAAUACCUGCUAGCCGUGACGUUAACAACAGAAGAAGCACCGGCUAACUCCGUGCCAGCAGCCGCGGUAAUACGGAGGGUGCGAGCGUUAAUCGGAAUUACUGGGCGUAAAGCGCACGCAGGCGGUUUGUUAAGCUAGAUGUGAAAGCCCCGGGCUCAACCUGGGAUGGUCAUUUAGAACUGGCAGACUAGAGUCUUGGAGAGGGGAGUGGAAUUCCAGGUGUAGCGGUGAAAUGCGUAGAUAUCUGGAGGAACAUCAGUGGCGAAGGCGACUCCCUGGCCAAAGACUGACGCUCAUGUGCGAAAGUGUGGGUAGCGAACAGGAUUAGAUACCCUGGUAGUCCACACCGUAAACGCUGUCUACUAGCUGUUUGUGACUUUAAGUCGUGAGUAGCGAAGCUAACGCGCUAAGUAGACCGCCUGGGGAGUACGGCCG
rnacentral:rRNA from 1 species